rnacentral:rRNA from 1 species
AUUGAACGCUGGCGGCAUGCCUUACACAUGCAAGUCGAACGGUAACAGGUCUUCGGAUGCUGACGAGUGGCGAACGGGUGAGUAAUGCAUCGGAACGUGCCCAGUAGUGGGGGAUAGCCCGGCGAAAGCCGGAUUAAUACCGCAUACGACCUGAGGGUGAAAGGGGGGGAUCGCAAGACCUCUCGCUAUUGGAGCGGCCGAUGUCAGAUUAGCUAGUUGGUGGGGUAAAGGCCUACCAAGGCAACGAUCUGUAGUUGGUCUGAGAGGACGACCAGCCACACUGGGACUGAGACACGGCCCAGACUCCUACGGGAGGCAGCAGUGGGGAAUUUUGGACAAUGGGCGCAAGCCUGAUCCAGCAAUGCCGCGUGCAGGAAGAAGGCCUUCGGGUUGUAAACUGCCUUUGUCAGGGAAGAAAUCUUCUGGGUUAAUACCUCGGGAGGAUGACGGUACCUGAAGAAUAAGCACCGGCUAACUACGUGCCAGCCGCCGCAGUAACAC